GUAGGGAAUAUUGGACAAUGGGCGAAAGCCUGAUCCAGCCAUGCCGCGUGAUAGAUGAAGGCCCUCUGGGUUGUAAAUAUCUUUUAUCUGGGAAGAAACUCCUCUAUUCUUAGAGGCCUGACGGUACCAGAGGAAUAAGCACCGGCUAACUCCGUGCCAGCAGCCGCGGUAAUACGGAGGGUGCAAGCGUUAUCCGGAUUCACUGGGUUUAAAGGGUGCGUAGGAGGGGUGAUAAGUCAGUGGUGAAAGAUCCGGGCUUAACUUGGGAACUGCCAUUGAUACUUUCAGUCUUGAAUGUCGUAGAGGUAAGCGGAAUGUUGCAUGUAGCGGUGAAAUGCUUAGAUAUGUUACAGAACACCAAUUGCGAAGGCAGCUUACUAUGCGAUAAUUGACGCUGAGGCACGAAAGCGUGGGGAGCAAACAGGAUUAGAAACCCGUGUAGUCC
rnacentral:rRNA from 1 species